UACGUAGGGUGCGAGCGUUAAUCGGAAUUACUGGGCGUAAAGGGCGCGUAGGCGGCCUUCUAAGUCGAACGUGAAAUCCCCGGGCUCAACCCGGGAACUGCGUCCGAGACUGGAAGGCUUGAAUCCGGGAGAGGGAUGUGGAAUUCCAGGUGUAGCGGUGAAAUGCGUAGAUAUCUGGAGGAACAUCGGUGGCGAAGGCGGCAUCCUGGACCGGUAUUGACGCUGAGGCGCGAAAGCCAGGGGAGCAAACGGG
rnacentral:rRNA from 1 species